GUAGUUAAGUUGUUCAUGUUCAUAAUGCGGUUUAUUAAAUUCAGGAGUUGGAUGGGCAGUUGUGUUGAUUUCAUUUUAUGUGGCGUUCUACUACAACGUAAUCAUUGGCUGGUCGAUCUUUUACCUUAUUUCCUCGUUCUCGGCUGAGCUUCCAUGGAUUGGUUGUAACCACAAGUGGAACACUGACUACUGUUACAAUGGCACAGCCGGCUAUGUGGACAUUGAAGGAGAAAAAGUAUGGAUAAAUGCAUCGACUGGUAUUUCAUCAUCGAAAGAAUUCUGGGAACGGAAGGCUUUGCAGAUACAUAAAAGUGAAGGAAUAGGUGAUCUAGGUGGCUUAAACUGGCAGAUGGUUUUAUGCUUUGCUACUGCUCUCGUUAUUGUGUACUUCACAGUCUGGAAAGGUGUAAAGACCUCAGGAAAAGUGGUCUAUGUAACAGCUACAAUGCCGUAUAUUGUCCUGUUUGUUCUCCUAAUCCGUGGAGUCACUUUACCGGGUGCAAAAGAAGGAAUCAAAUAUUAUGUAGAACCCGACUUCAAAAGACUACAAACCUCACA